GGCGCUAAUGUUGUACAGCAACCACAAGGUGGCGCUAACCUUGCUCAGCAACCACAAGGUGGAGCUAACCUUGUUCAGCAACCACAAGGUGGCGUUUUAAGUGGCUCACAGAGCGUUGGGGGUGCUAAACUUGGACAGCAGCCACUAGAUGUCGCCAAGCUUGUACAGAAAUCGCAAGGUGGCGCUCUAGGCGGCUCACAGAACGGUGGUCAGUGAAUGUCCGAUAAUUCAUCAGCUCAACAGGUCAUCUCUGAUGUCCACGUCGACGCUGAGAAGUCAGUAAACACAUGAGCAGCCGUUAUGCAGACGUGACGCGUGUGACGUUAUAGGAAACUAUUUCACGUGACGCGUGUGACGUAAUGGGAAGCCAUCUCACGUGACGCGUGUGGCGUAAUGGGAAGCCAUCUCACGUGACGGAUUCACGAGAGAACAUACACGGCUAAAGCUUAGAGGAGGACCGGCAAGGCGGAAAGAGAGACAGACAGAGAAAGGGGAGAGAAAAACAGAUAUGAGACCAGUGUUUCUAUUUGUAGACGAGGUUUUAUUCGGUCUCUCACGAUGCCUGUGUUAUGAUGAUGCAGCAUGAUUAUGUGCCUGGGACGCAUUGAAUGGUGCGCAUGCGCAAUACGGGCGAUGCGAUUAUCAGUGUCCCUGUCAUGUCUGUCGGAUGGCUCCUCCUCCUCUGUGCCCAGAGGAAUCUAAUCUGGGAGCAGACCAAGGGGUGGGAAUGCAGAGAAGAUGUAAAGCUUAGCGUGUUUCACGUGAGCGGGGAUGCACACAUUUUAGUGGAGGAGUACAGUGCGAAGAGUGGAGUGUACAUAUUAUGCAUGUGUCUUUGUAUCGUCUCCGGGCAGUGCAUGGCGUUUUUUAACAGAGGUACCCAGCCUCCUUGGCUGGCGAAACUCGGCUUUAUUUAAAUCGAGUUGCAUCGUGGUGGAUGUGUAUUGCUUGAUUUGUCUGCCUUGCGUCUUGAAAGCAUGAAGUGUAAAACUUGCACGUAUGUCUUAGUAAAUAGUAUGUUAUUUGUUUAAAAAAAAUUACGAAACUCA